AUGGCGUCUGCGGCGCUCCGUUCGGUGUUGUUGCGCGCGCAGCAGGUGGCGACGCGGCCGGGGCGCGCGUCAGAGUCGGUGCGCGUGGUGGCGGUGAACAAGACGAAGUCCGUGGGCGUCAUCCACGGCGUGUACGACGCCGGCCACCGCUGCUUCGGCUAGAACUACGUCCACGAGCUCAUCGACAAGGCCCCCCAGGUUGUACCCCCAGCUGAGAAGAAUGAAAUUUUUAUCCCCUUUCACCGCGUGAAAGAACUACUGAUUGGAACGUGA
rnacentral:rRNA from 1 species